UCAUUCUGUAUAUAAGCAGAGUGAUUAGAAGCCUGAGAACUACAGCUGAGGACUGCUGCUAACCAGAUAUAUCUCUACCACUGGCUAUGUACAGUGCCUAAUAUUUCUCAACUUUUUACUUAGCAUAAGAUUCAGCUUCCAAAGGGUGAAAAUAAUAAAAGAAUUUGAAGCUCAAGUGAGAGAGGUUAUAGUUUUGGAAACUCUAUCUUGUACAAGAAAAUGAUGAUCUUCUAGAAACUCUGAUGAGGAGCCACAACCAAAUAGACUGUUAUA
rnacentral:lncRNA from 1 species